UUUUGAAGCUCGUUAUCAUUUGUUUCAUAUUUUUGACAUGUCCAUGGGAAGUUUGUCUAGUCAUCAUGAUUCUGAAAGUCGAUAAAGUUUGUUACUCUUGAGAUAUAUUAAGCCUUUCAAGUUCUUGAUCCUAAUAGUCGCAUCUUCAUUCCCCUUCAGCGGAUUCAGAUCUGAAAUCCUAUCUCUUAUUAGAUAGAAAUUCAUAUUAUCUCGUAUAGAUUCAAGUUUCUCUUGAUGUUACGGAAGCGAUGUUAUGGAAGCAACUAUCAAAUCUUUGGGAGCAAAAUUUCACUUCGGUACAACAACUCAUCCACAACCUAAAGGACUGUUUGAGGUGGUACCAGACUCGUUGAAGAUACUGAAGAACAUAUACGUCGUCUUACCAAUAAUAAUUUUUCUUACGUGGAGCUCAACCUUAUGGAAAAUUUGUAGUAAGUUCGAGGUACGUACUAAGCUAACACCACCGAUCAAUCUUGAAUAUUGUUUCUCGAAACGACAUAGCGUGCAGAUAAAUUAUCAUAUGAAUAGAGAUCGGUUCUUAUUUCGGCACCAACUUUCUAGAGAUUAACCACGUAAGGGUUAUCCCUCUUGGUGACGAAUUCCUCGACAAAAAGGACGUAAAAGGUAUUUCGAAGAAACUACCAAGUUGAAGAAGCCACAAGUUGGCAACAAGAUGAUUAUCGAAGACUAUUUCCCGUGUUUGAAAAUUAGUUGAGAAUCUGGGGACCAGAUUCCUUUAAGGAGGGGAGAUUGUAACACCCCGUAAUUUAUGCUUAUGUUAUAUAUACAUAUACACAAGAGUUUAUUAUGCUAAAUAAUAAGAUUAGAGGGUUGUUGUGAUAUUAUGGGAUAAAGUUGGGGUACAGAUAUAAUAAUAAUUUUAUAAACUUGGCAAUCAAGUUUAUGAUAGACGGAUAAGUGAGAAAGUCUUCGUCAUCUUCAUCCGAUUAAUAGCAUCUUCCAACUUCACUUCUGCCUAUAAAUUACCCCCUUCUCGUCGAUAGAAUCAUCAUCCACAAUCACAUAGAAUUCAAAGAAAUCAAGAGAUUUAUCGAAGAAAUAAUUUGAGAGAGAAAUCAAGAAGAUUGGAGAUAAGCUAGGGUUCGACCAACCGAGGGAAAGAUGUUGACUUGAUGAUCUUCCUGGCGGGUUUCAGCGAUCGGGAUAUAUCAUUCGAAAGCCCUCGAUGUAAGCUUCAAUUUGGUGGUGGUUUCCGGCUGUUGUCUCAGGUGGUGGUCGCCGGAGUUCAAUGAGAAGUCCAGCCUGCCGCUGAAGUUUCAAGAGUCGAUUUGAGUUAUGCCGGCAAAAUUCAAAGAAAUGAAGAACUGCUGCCGCACCUGUUUUCGGAGCAGAAUUUGGAGAGUUUGGAGUGCGAAUUCGGGAAUCAUUCCUUCACAAAACUCGUAGAGAACCUCGAAAACUAUUGGUAAGUGUAAAAUUGUAUCGAGUUAGAGUAUGUUUUGAAGCUGAUUAGAGGCCCGAAUUAAGUGACGGUAAAUCUGUCAAAACAGGGCAGUUUUGAGUAUUCGUUUUACGGGGCUGUUUAUGUUAUGUUAAGAUAAUAAUUUAGGCUAUAUGUCUUCUGAGAACCUGUAGAUUACAUUUUCAGGUUCAAUUUGGUAUAUUGUUUGGCCAAUUUGGAUAAUUUUACAAAUAGUUAUAAAUUUUACAAUAAGCUGUACCAGAAAUAAUCUUUCCAAAAUCCCGGCAGUUCUGUAAUGCUGGUUUGAGGCUGUUUCUGCUAUUUUCGGUUCCGAAUUUGGGACUAAA